GGGUAACUGUGGCUUGAGGUGUUAGGUCUCACACUAGCCUUCAGAGGUGUUUCCUUCCACAUUACUUUGACAGCUUGCUCCUGCUUGUCAGAGAAGCCAAAUGAGAAAGAAGCGACACCUACUGGGAAGUAUGUGCGAACACGGCCCAUUACUGCGCUAGGAUCCUGCCACAGUCACCACCCCGGUCCAUAAGUCGAAGACUUUCAAGCAGCUUGGAGAAACACACAAGUCAGGCGACAAGAAGAUAAACUGGCACUGGCUGUCUAGGGACUGACAGCAUCACCAAUAGACACCCCCCGCCCCCAGAGGGUCCUCCUCCAACAUCUUUAAGCUAAACAGCCCUUUCCCCAUAAAUGUAUCCUCUACUUCUGAAGACAUAGUUGGGCUUAGAAGGAGGGCUUCAUUGCAACCUGACUCAAGCAGCAUCUUUGUUCUCUAAAUAAAAAGUCAUUGUCUUUCUUCA